AUGGCUGUCGUCAGCUCGUGUCGUGAGAUGUUGGGUUAAGUCCCGCAACGAGCGCAACCCUUGUCUUAUGUUGCCAGCGGGUUAUGCCGGGGACUCAUAAGAGACUGCCGGGGUCAACUCGGAGGAAGGUGGGGAUGACGUCAAAUCAUCAUGCCCCUUAUGUCUUGGGCUUCACGCAUGCUACAAUGGCCGGUACAAAGGGCUGCGAAACCGCGAGGUGGAGCGAAUCCCAAAAAGCCGGUCUCAGUUCGGAUUGGGGUCUGCAACUCGACCCCAUGAAGUCGGAGUCGCUAGUAAUCGCAGAUCAGCAACGCUGCGGUGAAUACGUUCCCGGGCCUUGUACACACCGCCCGUCACGUCACGAAAGUCGGUAACACCCGAAGCCGGUGGCCUAACCCCCUUGUGGGGAGGGAGCCGUCGAAGGUGGGAUCGGCGAUUGGGACGAAGUCGUAACAAGGUAGCCGUACCGGAAGGUGCGGCUGGAUCACCUCCUUUCUAAGGAGCUCAUGGCUCUCACGCUUGUCGUGGGGGUCCAUUCGCCAUGUCGCGGACGAGUGUUCCGCGGUGGUGUGCUCAUGGGUGGAACACUGACUGUUCGGUUCGCUGCUUGUUGUGUGGUGUCCAGUACGGCGUGACACGCGUCCGUUGCCCCUUUUUUUGUGGGUGGUGGUGUGGGUCGGCUCCCUUGGGUGGGGGUCAGCUGGAACGGGCCGUGCGGCGGGUGGUGGGUCGUGGGUGCGCUGUUGGGUCCUGAGAGAACGGGCAGAAGGGGAUCCCCCGGGUUUGGGGGUUCUUCUUGUGUGUGUCCUCUUGUAGGGGCCGGCUUGCUGCUAUACCGCUUCGGUGUUGGUGGUUCCUUCGGGGGCUGUCGGUGUUCGGGGUGGGUGGUGGUGUUGGGCUGGUUUCCUGUUUGUUGUUUGAGAACUGCACAGUGGACGCGAGCAUCUUUGUGGCUAAGUUUUUAAGAGCACACGGUGGAUGCCUAGGUACCAGGAGCCGAUGAAGGACGUAGGAGGCUGCGAUAAGCCUCGGGGAGCUGUCAACCGAGCUGUGAUCCGAGGAUGUCCGAAUGGGGAAACCCGG
rnacentral:sRNA from 1 species